rnacentral:lncRNA from 1 species
GUGGAAAGUUGAUUAUUCAAAGCAUCUCCGAUGGCUACUGCUUGAAUGUCCUUACUGCAGGGGCUCCAGUCUUUUGGGGGCUGCAUCUGCACUGCAGAGGGCUGGCUCGGACAUCUGUGGAUUUCAGUGAACAGAGGAGAGAUUGGAAGGAGCAUGUUUCUUUCAGAGUAGAUAGUGGAUUCACUGAAUCCCCCCGCCACUAGUAAAUCUCUUCUAGUAAGCCAUUUGCAUCCUUUUUUGUUGGUUUUUAAUCCUUGCGGAGUUCUCAGCGAUGCUACGAGCAAUGUGCUUGCACUUAAGGUGAUGGACUGUAAAUGCCUGAAAAAGGAAGAAGCAGUUGUCAAAGCAAAUUAAUUAUUAAUGUUUAUAGUUUUCCUGUCUUAAGGGUUUUCAGAAUCUCAGUUGUUCAGUGUUUGAAGCUGUAAUGCCUCCAACUGUAAUUACUCAGUGAAUGGGAGGCAGUGUGAUUGUCACCCACAAGCAUUCCCACCAGGAAUGGAUGAGUCGUGACCCUUUGGAGAAGCAAGUGGAGCUUUUACCUUGAGAGCCAUUCGUCCUGCCAGGGUCAGGCAGUGGGAGGAGGCAGGAAAAGGGCUUGUUGCUCUGAAAAUAAGACCAUCUCCCAAACCACCCUACACCCUACUUCUUCCAGGUGGGAAAGACCCACAGGGUUUCAGGAGAGUCCACUGGGAAUGACUUCCUUGAAAUGGAGGUUCAGUCCUUUCAAGUUCUGAGCUGUGAGUGGGGGUGGCUAUGGGAGGAAAUCACUUUGCACAGGGUUUGAUGCGACACUUCUGGGAAGCUUAUGAAUUCCGUAGGAGUGGGCAUGAGGUUGUAAGCACGAAGGACCUGUAAUACUUCAGAGGAGAUGAAGGAAGGAGUCUGGCCAUGUUGGAGCCAUAGAGGGAAUCUGGGGUUUGUAUAAUGAACAUUUCUGGGUUUUUGUUUUUAUCUGCUUUUUGUUUGAUUUUGCUUUUACUUUGGGAGCUAAGUAUUUUUUUUAUCUUAACAGAUAUGUUUUUUCCCCCUUAGAGUAAUAUAUAUUCAUGGAUUAAAACUAAAGACAAAAAAAAUCUCUGCAGAUAAACAGAAAUGCCCACCAUGGCUUUGACCCCAGUACCUGGAGAUAAACAUGGCUGCCCCAUUUCCUCUCUCUAUUCAUAUAGCUGAAGAUAUUAACAUACAUUGCAAUCAACAUUACUGUUUGCUUUUUGCAUUGAACAAUAUAAACUCAGAAUUCGUUCAGAGACUUCAUGUGCUCCAGCAUGUAAUUUUCAGGGGCUCUAGAGUAGUCUACAGUGCAAAUAUCAAUAAUGUGCUUAAUUAGGCCACCACUGCUGGACUUUCAGGCUUACUCCGACUUUUCUCUAUUAUAAACAGCACGUAAAUGGACAUAUUUAAAGCCUUGUGAACAUUAAUCUCCAUUCACAUCUUUCAGUACAAUUCUGUGAUAAAGAAGAACUACUGAGUUUUUAAUAUGGCUACUUUUAUUGUUUUCCUAUGUGUUGCCAAAUCACUCUCCUGAAUGUUAGAAAAUCAGGUUUCAUUCCUUGUUUACAUAACGUUUUCUUUCUAAAUAAACAUUUGCAGUUGAUUUUCAGUCAACAAAUUGCUUUUAUUACUUUAAUGUCUAUGAAAUAAGACCAUUCCAGUAUCCUUACCUUACAGAAAUGACAGCAACAACAGCAAAUAUGAGUAAAGAAAAAAAA